AUCUGUAGUACGGGUACCACCAGUGGUACGCAGACAACCUGUCAGUGGUGUGCAUUAACAGAUUUAUUAUCAUUACUUUAUAUGGCAAAAAUUUGCUGGUGUUACUUAAGGUUGAACUGAAAAAUUUGCUGGUGGUACUUAAGGUUGUAUCAUUUUAAAUUGGUGGUGCACAAUUUGUCAGUUUGGGAACCGGUGGCAUAGACUGAAAGUCAGCAAAUGGU